GGAAUAUUGCACAAUGUGCGCAAGCCUGAUGCAGCCAUGCCGCGUGUAUGAAGAAGGCCUUAGGGUUGUAAAGUACUUUCAGCGGGGAGGAAGGCGAUAAGGUUAAUAACCUUGUCGAUUGACGUUACCCGCAGAAGAAGCACCGGCUAACUCCGUGCCAGCAGCCGCGGUAAUACGGAGGGUGCAAGCGUUAAUCGGAAUUACUGGGCGUAAAGCGCACGCAGGCGGUCUGUCAAGUCGGAUGUGAAAUCCCCGGGCUCAACCUGGGAACUGCAUUCGAAACUGGCAGGCUAGAGUCUUGUAGAGGGGGGUAGAAUUCCAGGUGUAGCGGUGAAAUGCGUAGAGAUCUGGAGGAAUACCGGUGGCGAAGGCGGCCCCCUGGACAAAGACUGACGCUCAGGUGCGAAAGCGUGGGGAGCAAACAGGA
rnacentral:misc_RNA from 1 species